rnacentral:rRNA from 1 species
AUUGAACGCUGGCGGCAGGCUUAACACAUGCAAGUCGAGCGAGCGGCGGACGGGUGAGUAAUGUCUGGGAACCUGCCUGAUGGAGGGGGAUAACUACUGGAAACGGUAGCUAAUACCGCAUACCAUCAGAUGUGCCCAGAUGGGAUUAGCUAGUAGGGGGGGUAAUGGAUCACCUAGGCGACGAUCCCUAGCUGGUCUGCGAGGAUUACCAGCCACACUGGAACUGAGACACGUUCCAGACUCCUACGGGAGGCAGCAGUGGGGAAUAUUGCACAAUGGGCGCAAGCCUGAUGCAGCCAUGCCGCGUGUGUGAAGAAGGCCUUCGGGUUGUAAAGCUCUUUUAGCGAGGAGGCGUUACUCGAAGAAGAAGCACCGGCUAACUCCGUGCCAGCAGCCGCGGUAAUUC